UAUAUACCCAUCCUUUUUAUUAGCUGAAAUAGUGUCAUAAAUAGAUCAGACAAAAAGUAAAUGCAUAUAUAUGUGUCACAUAUAUAUGAUCAUAUAUAAAAAAUGUAUAGCAUAUGAUAUGCCAUUCUUGGUGUCACUUUUUGAGAGGGGCCAAGUUAAACUGGAACAUCAUAAUCAGAAGAAGCCAAAAUGGUAAAGGAUUUAAAAUAAUAAAAAACCACUAAAGAAACAUUGAAGAAGCCACUGAAGGAUGUUUGGGGUAGGGUCUCAGUUGUCAAAAUGACUGAAAAUAGCAGUGGGCAUAUUUAAAGGGUUAGCAUAACUAAGAGAAUAAAUUUAUCCUUAGUAGCUUCAGGGACUAUGUAACUUAUCCAGUGUGUAACAUGUUUGAGCACUUAAAAUUCUAUGAUUUCAAGCCUGAAUAGGCUAAAUUCCUUUUAGUAAGCUCUUAGGAGGGCUACACUGUUCUAAAAGCAAUGUUUCAAAGUACUAUAUUUAACAUUCAUCCAUGGUCAGCAUUUUCUUACAUAUUAUAGAAAUAAGAUAAUAAAAUAAAUCGAUUUAUCCCUUUACAGGUACUCUUAUUAGUGAAGGAUUAAAAAAAAUUCACCUUAAUUAGUAUUAAUUAUAAAUCAAGUUAGUUGAAUCUCAUGAUUUGUGCUCAAGCAAAAUAACUCAUACAGAAACAAAACAACCUUAAACAACCCCAUAAUCUUAACAGAAUCAGAAUUGAAAUACUACAUUAAAUCUUCACUUCUAGAUACUGGGGUUCUAAACCAUGCAAAGUAAAUUUCCAAAAGUUUUCCUACUGUAUGUAUAAAUUCUCUCCUAUGUAACUAGUAUUGGUAUUUCUGAAAAUUAUAUAAGACAAAAGGGUUUCUUGUUUAUAGAAGAUCUAUGGGCAGUAAAAUAUUUGCAUUGUUCUUUAAUUAAACAAUCUAUCCAACUGCAAAAUAAAUAGUAAAAUAUGUCCUCUUAAGCUAAUAAUUAACGUAUAUUGUAACCUAUCUUAUAAGUAACCUCUGUAUACUGUAUUCGUUUCCUAUGGCUACAAAAUCAUCAUAUACAAAUUACUAUGAGUUAAGUGUUAAGCAGCAGAAAUUUAUUUAUUGUAAUUUUUUUUCUUUUGCUGGUCCUUGGGCUUGAACUCAGGGCCUGGGGCCCUGGGCCCUGAGCCUCUUUGUG